GCCCUUGCUAGCCCAGCCCCCGCGCAUCGCACACCGGGUCCCCUCCCUGGAGCGCGCACAGGGUUCAGGCUGCUCUGACCCAUGGGGUGGAGGCGGAGGUCCUGGGACCUAGGCCUCCUGGCUCAGGCCCCAGGCCCCAGGCCCGGCAGCGGGCAGAGACCCCUCUCAUCCUGCCAAGGGGUCUGGCUUUUCCUUCUUGCUCAGUGGUUUUGUCAGAAGGAGCCAGGGACUGGCAGUGCAGAGCCCUGGGUUCCCAGAGACGUUUUCUUUCAAAUUUCCCUCCUGACCCUCCCUUCCUGUGACAAGACACUGUCCCUCUCUGAGUUCCCCAUACUCGCCAUCCACGCUCCGCCCUCCCUAGAAAACGCGUCCCGGAAGCGGGGAUAGACCAGAGUACCGGUCUGCCCUCCACCCGUCUACACCGGCUCCCCGCCCCCGCCUUGCCCCACGCAUCCCUCCCUCUCUCCAGCGGAAUGCCUGCCUCUCUUCUCCUUAGCAUCCAAACAAAUGCAGCCAUUAUAAAGCUCUCUCCAGCUCAUCUUUCUCCUUUCGGUGACCUCAGAGCAGUGCUGCCCACUCCCCCGGCUGGUUUCUUUGUUACUUCUCCGCACAAGAGCCUGAGAUGAUGGCUUCUUGAGACUCUGUCUUCAGCCCUCUCCGUUUCUGGGUGGUCUCACCCACUCCUUUGGCCUCAGUGAUUUCCAAGGAAAGGAUGAUGAUAAUGAUUAACGUGUAUAUGGCACUUAGUAUGCACAGGUACCGGUGUUGCAGUUUAUUAACUUACUUGAUCCUCUGCUAUGGUUUGAAUGUGUCCCUCAAAUUUCACAUGUUGGAAAUGUAAUGCCCAAAUUCAUAUAUCGGUGGCAUUUUUUGUUUGUUUUUGAGACGGAAUUUCACUCUUGUUGCCCAGGCUGGAGUGCAAUGGCAUGAUCUCGGCUCACUGCAACCUCCGCCUCCCAGGUUCAAGCGAUUCUCCUGCCUCAGCCUCCCUAGUAGCUGGGAUUACAGGUGCCUGCCACCACGCCUAGCUAAUUUUUUGUAUUUUUAGUAGAGAUGGGGUUUCACUAUGUUGGCCAGGCUGGUCUCGAACUCCUGACCUUAGGCAAUCCACCCGCCUCAGCCUCCCAAACUGCUGGGAUUACAGACGUGAGCCACCGUUCCUG
rnacentral:lncRNA from 10 species